rnacentral:rRNA from 1 species
AUUGAACGCUGGCGGCAGGCCUAACACAUGCAAGUCGAACGAGUGGCGGACGUGUGAGUAAUGUCUGGGAAACUGCCUGAUGGAGGGGGAUAACUACUGGAAACGGUAGCUAAUACCGCAUACCAUCAGAUGUUCCCAUCUGGGAUUAGCUAGUUGGUGGGGUAACUGCUCACCAAGCAGACGAUCCCUAGCUGGUCUGAGAGGAUGACCGGCAACACGGGAACUGAGACACGGUCCAGCCUCCUACGCGAGGCAGCAGUGGGGAAUAGUGCACAAUGGGCGCAAGCCUGAUGCAGCCAUGCCGCGUGUAUGAAGAAGGCCUUCGGGUUGUAAAGUACUUUCAGCGGGGAGGCGUUACCCGCAGAAGAAGCACCGGCUAACUCCGUGCCAGCAGCCGCGGUAAUAC